GAGGAAGCUACGCUGCAGGGCUCAGCCGACUGCAGCUCCGCUUACCGUCUGACCUUGCGAAGGUUCGGUGCUGAGCGCAGGCGCUAGACUCUCCGCAUGACAGUCAAAGGAACAGCGUCCUCACCUUCCUAUGGAGGAGUCGCGGUCGUCGGGUCUGCGAGAAGGUGGAAGGGUAUAGGAUGUUAUAAGUGUGGAGGCCAGAGGACAACUCUUGGAGGCUCUUCUAUCAAGCAAGUCUCAGGCAUCAAACAUGGGCCAGCUCCUCACACUUGGCAGCCUUUACUUGAAGAAUCAUCUUACUGCUCAAAAAAGGUUCUCAUAUGAGGACCGUGUAGCCUGGCUGUCCUAGAAUUCGCUGUGCAGACCAAGCUGGCCUUGAACUCAUAAACAUUUACCUGCCUCUGCCUCUAGAGUGUUGGAAUUAAAAGCAUUUGCCACUAUGACCAGCCAAUUUUUUUUUUUUGUUUUGUUUUUAAAUAGGUCUUUCUGGUUGGUCCUGCUUCCAUCCAACAUCCCCACAGGUGGCCUAUUCGGAUUUUUUUUCUCCUCCUCCUCCUGUCCUGCAAGGAAGCUUCCUGUCCCCCAACUCCACAUGGUGAAAACAUAAUUCUCCAAUUACCUAUGCAGGCCCUUGCACAUUUUUUUUUUCCUGAUUUAUACUGUCUCCCUCUGUAGACUCUCCUGUCAUACCCAAGACACCAAAAAUAGCUCUUUGUUCUGAGGUUUUCCUUUGGCAGCUUUCACUCGUACCUUAACGGUACUGAGUCUAAGUUCAGAACACCACACAAGCAAAUGCUUCGUCAGUCUCAAGUUAUAUCUAAAACAAAAUCUGGAUUGGCAAAACAGCUCAGCAGGUAAAAGCUCACGGCACUCAAGCCCAACAAACUGAGUCCCUAAAGUUGUCCUCUGUCCUCAACACAGGCACACACACGCACACAUACACGCACACACAUAUGCACACCUACACACACAAACACACUUGGGAAGCUGGAGCCUCAAUUGGAGAAUUGCCUCUGUCAGAUUGGACUGUGGGGAUGUCUUUGGGAGAAUGUUCUUGAUUAAUGAUUGAUGUGGGAGCGCCCAGCCCACUGUGGGCAAGUGGUAUAAAAGGGUGAGUUGAGCAAGCCAUGGGAGCCAGCCAGUAAGCAGUGUCCUCCCAAGUCUAUGCUUCAGUUCCCGCCUCAAGCUCCUGCCCUGACUUCUGUCAAGGAUGAAACAUGACAGGGUAGUUGUAAGUCAAAAUAAACCCUUUCCUCCCCUCU
rnacentral:lncRNA from 1 species